rnacentral:rRNA from 1 species
UACGUAGGGGGGCAAGCGUUGUCCGGAAUCAUUGGGCGUAAAGAGCGUGUAGGCGGCCAGGUAGGUCAGCUGUGAAAACUCGAGGCUCAACCUCGAGACGUCGGUUGAAACCACCUGGCUAGAGUCCGGAAGAGGAGAGUGGAAUUCCUGGUGUAGCGGUGAAAUGCGCAGAUAUCAGGAGGAACACCGGUGGCGAAGGCGGGUCUCUGGGCAGUAACUGACGCUGAGGAGCGAAAGCGUGGGGAGCGAACAGG